rnacentral:rRNA from 1 species
UGGGGAAUAUUGCACAAUGGGCGCAAGCCUGAUGCAGCCAUGCCGCGUGUAUGAAGAAGGCCUUCGGGUUGUAAAGUACUUUCAGCGGGGAGGAAGGGAGUAAAGUUAAUACCUUUGCUCAUUGACGUUACCCGCAGAAGAAGCACCGGCUAACUCCGUGCCAGCAGCCGCGGUAAUACGGAGGGUGCAAGCGUUAAUCGGAAUUACUGGGCGUAAAGCGCACGCAGGCGGUUUGUUAAGUCAGAUGUGAAAUCCCCGGGCUGAACCUGGGAACUGCAUCUGAGACUGGCAAGCUUGAGUCUCGUAGAGGGGGGUAGAAUUCCAGGUGUAGCGGUGAAAUGCGUAGAGAUCUGGAGGAAUACCGGUAGCGAAGGCGGCCCCCUGGACGAAGACUGACGCUCAGGUGCGAAAGCGUGGGGAGCAAACAGG